GGGCCUAUAGCUCAGCUGGUUAGAGCGCACGCCUGAUAAGCGUGAGGUCGAUGNAAUCUUCAUAUAAAAAUG
rnacentral:tRNA from 1 species